rnacentral:rRNA from 1 species
AGUGGCGGACGGGUGAGUAACACGUAAGAAUUUGCCUUUAGGAGGGGGACAACAACUGGAAACGGUUGCUAAUACCCCAUAUGCUUUCGAGUGAAAUGGAUUUUUCCGCCUAAAGAGAAGCUUGCGGCUGAUUAGCUUGUUGGUGAGGUAAUGGCUCACCAAGGCGACGAUCAGUAUCUGGUUUGAGAGGAUGAUCAGACACACUGGAACUGAGACACGGUCCAGACUCCUACGGGAGGCAGCAGUGGGGAAUUUUCCGCAAUGGGCGAAAGCCUGACGGAGCAAUCUCGCGUGAGGGAUGACGGCCUAUGGGUUGUAAACCUCUUUUUUCAGGGAGGAACAAAAUGACGUGUACCUGAAGAAUAAGCAUCGGCUAACUCCGUGCCAGCAGCCGCGGUAAGACGGAGGAUGCAAGUGUUAUCCGGAAUCACUGGGCGUAAAGCGUCUGUAGGUGGUUUAAUAAGUCAACUGUUAAAUCUUGAAGCUCAACUUCAAAAUCGCAGUCGAAACUAUUAGACUAGAGUAUAGUAGGGGUAAAGGGAAUUUCCAGUGGAGCGGUGAAAUGCGUAGAUAUUGGAAAGAACACCGAUGGCGAAGGCACUUUACUGGCUAUUACUGACACUCAGAGACGAAAGCUAGGGUAGCAAAUGGGAUUAGAUACCCCAGUAGUCCUAGCCGUAAACAAUGGAUACUAGAUGUU